rnacentral:rRNA from 1 species
CGGCAGGCCUAACACAUGCAAGUCGAGCGGCAGCACGGGUACUUGUACCUGGUGGCGAGCGGCGGACGGGUGAGUAAUGCCUAGGAAUCUGCCUAGUAGUGGGGGAUAACGUCCGGAAACGGGCGCUAAUACCGCAUACGUCCUACGGGAGAAAGUGGGGGAUCUUCGGACCUCACGCUAUUAGAUGAGCCUAGGUCGGAUUAGCUAGUUGGUGAGGUAAUGGCUCACCAAGGCGACGAUCCGUAACUGGUCUGAGAGGAUGAUCAGUCACACUGGAACUGAGACACGGUCCAGACUCCUACGGGAGG